rnacentral:misc_RNA from 1 species
AACGGUCUAUACCUGCGGUACCUGCGGAAGGAUCAUUAACGAGUUAGGGUCCUCCGGGGCCCGACCUCCCACCCUUUGUUGUCGCGAAUUCGUUGCCUCGGCGGGACGGCCGCCCCGGGCGUCACAGCCCGGGCGGCCACCGGGCCCCUCUCUUCGGGGCCCCGGCCAGCGCCCGCCGCGGGACCACACAACUCUUGUCUUUGACCGUACAGUCCGAGCAAAUUUGAAUUAAUAAAUCAA